rnacentral:rRNA from 1 species
GAUGAACGCUGGCGGCGUGCCUAAUACAUGCAAGUCGAGCGAAUGGAUUAAGAGCUUGCUCUUAUGAAGUUAGCGGCGGACGGGUGAGUAACACGUGGGUAACCUGCCCAUAAGACUGGGAUAACUCCGGGAAACCGGGGCUAAUACCGGAUAACAUUUUGAACCGCAUGGUUCGAAAUUGAAAGGCGGCUUCGGCUGUCACUUAUGGAUGGACCCGCGUCGCAUUAGCUAGUUGGUGAGGUAACGGCUCACCAAGGCAACGAUGCGUAGCCGUCCUGAGAUGGUGAGCGGCCACACUGGUACUGCGACACGGCCCAGACUCCGACGGGAGGCAGGAGUAGGGAAUCUUCCGCAAUGGACGAAAGUCACACGGAGCAACGCCGCGUGAGUGAUGAAGGCUUUCGGGUCGUAAAACUCUGUUGUUAGGGAAGAACAAGUGCUAGUUGAAUAAGCUGGCACCUUGACGGUACCUAACCAGAAAGCCACGGCUAACUACGUGCCAGCAGCCGCGGUAA